rnacentral:rRNA from 1 species
UUACGGGAGGCAGCAGUGGGGAAUCUUGCGCAAUGGACGAAAGUCUGACGCAGCGACGCCGCGUGGGUGAUGAAGGCCUUCGGGUUGUAAAGCCCUGUGGGGAGAGACGAAUAAGUGCAGCCUAACACGUUGCAUGAUGACGGUAUCUCCUUAGCAAGCACCGGCUAACUCUGUGCCAGCAGCCGCGGUAAGACAGAGGGUGCAAACGUUGUUCGGAAUUACUGGGCGUAAAGCGUGUGUAGGCGGCCUUAUAAGUCGGAUGUGAAAGCCCCGGGCUCAACUCGGGAAGUGCACUCGAUACUGUGAGGCUUGAGUAUCGGAGAGGUUGGUGGAAUUCUCGGUGUAGAGGUGAAAUUCGUAGAUAUCGAGAGGAACACCGGUGGCGAAAGCGGCCAACUGGACGAAUACUGACGCUGAGACACGAAAGCGUGGGGAGCAAACAGGCUUAGAUACCCCGGUAGU